GACGAACGCUGCCGCGUGCCUUAUACAUGCAAGUAGAACGCUGAAGGAAGGAGCUUGCUCUUUCCGGAUGAGUUGCGAACGGGUGAGUAACGCGUAGGUAACCUGCCUGGUAGCGGGGGAUAACUAUUGGAAACGAUAGCUAAUACCGCAUAACAGUAGAUAUCGCAUGAUAGCUGCCUGAAAAAGUGCAAAUGCACCACUACCAGAUGGACCUGCGUUGUAUUAGCUAGUUGGUGAGGUAACGGCUCACCAAGGCAACGAUACAUAGCCGACCUGAGAGGGUGAUCGGCCACACUGGGACUGAGACACGGCCCAGACUUCCUACGGGAGGCAGCAGUAGGGAAUCUUCGGCAAUGGACGGAAGUCUGACCGAGUAACGCCGCGUGAGUGAAGAAGGUUUUCGGAUCGUAAAGCUCUGUUGUAAGAGAAGAACGAGUGUGAGAGUGGAAAGUUCACACUGUGACGUAUCUACCAGAAAGGA
rnacentral:rRNA from 1 species